rnacentral:rRNA from 1 species
CAGUCGCCGCGGGAAUACAGAGGGUGCGAGCGUUAAUCGGAUUUACUGGGCGUAAAGCGUGCGUAGGCGGCUUUUUAAGUCGGAUGUGAAAUCCCUGAGCUUAACUUAGGAAUUGCAUUCGAUACUGGAAAGCUAGAGUAUGGGAGAGGAUGGUAGAAUUCCAGGUGUAGCGGUGAAAUGCGUAGAGAUCUGGAGGAAUACCGAUGGCGAAGGCAGCCAUCUGGCCUAAUACUGACGCUGAGGUACGAAAGCAUGGGGAGCAAACAGGAUUAGAUACCCCCGUAGUCCCUGUCUCUUAUAC